UUAAAACCCUAGUUCAAAACUGCCGUCAUUUCUUGUCCGUAAAGGGCUCCUAUUUCUGUCAUUAAGGCAUAUGACGAAUCAUACGCCAAAUCGUUGAAUGCUCAGUCAUUUGAUUUGGGUAUUAUGAUUCUUACUUUUUAAUAGGAAGAUCUGAUGCCUCGCGUUUAAUCUUUUAUUCCUUUGUUUUUCAGUUACUUCAUUUAGUCGUAAUUUCAGUACUGAAGCCAUUGAUGACUAUUGGGAUUUCAACAGAAAUGCAAGUCUACAUACUUGCACAAGAUGCUGAAACAAUUUUAUGAACUAGGACGGUCUGAGGCUUUUUCGUAUUUAAAUAUAUAUAUAUAUAUAUUUUAACUUUCAAAUAUUGAGAUGCUUAUUAACAGUGUUGUGCAUGAUGAGAAACAUAAAUUAUCACAGUUAUCCCUGUCUGAUGCAUAUUUGUGCUGAUUAUAUGUGUUCUGACACAACCACUGUUGGUUUUAAUUAUAAGCUCUUGAUAGUAGUUGUCUUCCCCCCUUUUCUCCCUCAUAGGUUAUGGGUAUUUGAUUCAGCAGAGUUUAAUUCGAAUUCAAUACUAAGGCCUUGUUUUGUUCAAAGCAACCUACUUAGAGGCAAAAAUGUUGCAGACUGAAUUUGUGACGUUCUCCGGAGUCGAAAGAUUGGAUGUCUGGGUUCUAUAUCAGUAAUAUGUAUGGCAAUUUUGUGGGAGAAUGUAUCCCUUGUGUAAUCUUUAUUCUUCGUGUGAUUAUUGGUUUUGGGAAUAUGGAAUGCGAAUUCUGUAUGCUGAUAUGAAGCCGUAUCUGUAGUUUGAAGGUUAUUGCAGUGGAUGUUAACUUUAGCUCUUGAAAUUGGAAUGCGAAACCUGCAUUAUGGCAUACUGAUGUGGAAAUUUUGUGCAAACUAAGUUCUGUUUCCUAAUUUAGUCGUAACUUUAGUACUGAAGCCGUUGAUGACUGUUGGGAUUUCAACAGAAAUGCAACUCUACAAUCUUGCACAAGAGGUUGAAACAAUUUUAUGAACCAGAACGGUCUGAGGCUUUUUCAUGUUCAUUAUUAUUAUUCUUUAAGUUUCAGAUAUUGAGAUGCUUAUUAACAGUGUUGUGCAUGAUGAGAAAUAUAAAUUAUCACAGUUGGUUGACACAAUCACUGUUGGUUUUAAUUA